UCAUGGGAGAACCAAUCAAUAAAGCAAGGUGGGCUAUGGAGAGUCCUUAGGUAAAAGGUACCUCAUGAAGCCCAAGAGAUGCUAACUCAUUCUCAUCACUGUCAUUGAAGCUCAAAUCAGAUUUAUACAAGAAGUUUUAUUGUUAUUUCCUUGAUAAAAUUCCUGCCUGGUUUUUGAUGGGAAAAUACGUUUUUCUUUGCAGGAUUUUGUUCAUUCAUUUCCCAGAUUCAGUUGGAUUCCAAUUGGACCAGCCUUGUGCUUAGUAGAUGACCACCCAACAUGAUUGGAAAGGUGCCCAGAAAAGCCAACUCAGAGAGGACCUUCCUGAAAUUCCAUCUCUUCUGUCCUUGCCUAUGGACCACAGAGCCCUUUGAAAACUUGGGGACUGAAUCACCCAGCUUCUCUCAUUGCUUUGGCCUCCAGCAGGAAGCUCCUCACUUCUGCUUUCAAAUUCCCUAGAGAGGCAGCUCCAACAUGAACAUCUUUCUCCCUGUCCCUCAAGCAUCCUGAGAAGACUGGAAUCAGCCCAACAGCAAACCAUGGUAUCUCAGAUCUGCAGGAAGGAGAGGCCGCGUGGUCCCUCCCUCCCGCAGAGGCCUGAACACUGCUGAGGAAGCUGUCGCUGGGCCAAAACACCCAUCCCUGACAGAUCUGGGAGAACUCACUGGCCAAACCCACCUACUCCCAAAUGUAACCCAAAUUUUGCCAUCCCCUCCUCCUUCAGCUUGGGAUGUGGAGGGGAUGUUGUGAAAUACAGCAAUGAAAAUUAGUAAACUACAGCUCAAGUCAUCAACAUGGAUAAAUCCUGAAAAUACAGUGUUGACCGAAAGAAGUAAGUCACAGAGGCUGGGCUCGGUGACUCACGCCUGUCAUUCCAGCACUUUGGGAGGCUGAGGCGGCAGAUCACUUGAGCCCAGUGUUCAAGACCAACCUGGGCAACCUAGAGAGAUCACAUCUCUACCAAAAAUAUAUUUAAAAAAAAAGAAAGAAGAAAAAAAGAAAAAAAAAUUAGCCAGGUGUAGUGGCAUGCGCUUUUGGUCCUAGCUACUCGGGAGGCUGAGGUGGGAGGAUGAGGAUUGCUUGAGCCUGGGAGGUGGAGGUUGCAGUGAGCUGAGAUUGCACCACUGCACUCCAGCCUGGGUGACAGAGUGAGACCCCAUUAAAAAACAAAAAAACAAAAAAACAAAAAAAAAACAAGGCCGGGCGCGAUGGCUCAUGCCUGUAAUCCCAGCACUUUGGGAGGCCGAGGCGGGUGGAUCACAAGGUCAGGAGAUUGAGACCAUCCUGGCUAACACGGUGAAACCCCCGCCCCCGUUCUCUACUAAAAAAUGCAAAAAAUUAGCCGGGUGUGGUGACGGGAGCCUGUAGUCCCAGCUACUCGGGAGGCUGAGGCAGGAGAAUGGCGUGAACCCGGGAGGCAGAGCCUGCAGUGAGCCGAGAUCAUGCCACUGCACUCCAGCCUGGGCAACAGAGCGAGACUCCAUCUCAAAAAAAAAAAAAAAAAAAAAGUAAGUUAUAGAAUGAUACAGGCACUGUGAUUCCAUUUAUACUAAGUUAAAAAAUAGACCAGGGCCAGGCGCGGUGGCUCACGCCUGUAAUCCCAGCACUUUGGGAGGCCAAGGUGGGUGGAUCACAAGGUCAGGGGUUCGAGACCAGCCUGACCAACAUGGUGAAACCCUGUCUCUACUAAAAAUACAAAAAUUAGCUGGACGUGGUGGUGAGUGCCUGUGAUCCCAGCUACUCAGGAGAACUGCUUGAACCUGAGAGGCAGAAGUUGCAGUGAGCCAACACAGCGAGACUCUGUCUCAAAAAAAAAAAAAGACCAAAAAAAAUGCCCACACAAAACAUGUCUAGAUUUUCAUUGUGUAUUCAUCUGUCCAUUAUUUUGAAUUACAACUGAAAGAAGAGAUAGAUAGAUGGAAUCUAGGUAUCAUAGGUAAUAUGGAGUGAAUAUAGGGCAUAGUCCCUAUUUUAAGGAGCCCAAAGAUGGAAGCAUAGGCUAUUUGGCCAUCUACUCUUUGGCCAAUAAUAUUCAUAAAUAUGUAGGUAAGGAUGUGAAUGUAUGGUUCCAAACACAUAUAAGAAAACCGGGGGAUUUGAGGUAAAUGAGGUACUUAAUCCUUUCUAAACACACCUUUUUUCUUAUUUAAUUUGAAAGUAAAUACAUCUUUCAUUUUCAUUUUUUAUUUUUUUCUAUAUCAGGCCACAGUGGCUGGAGAAAUCUUUUUCUAAAUUUAAAAACAUAGGCAAAAACGUGUAUAGUUUAGAACAUAAGCAUACUGAAGCUAUAAUGAAACAAGGGGAUGGUUAAUAUAUAGUUCAGUGUAGUAGUGGCUAACUGGGUGUGAUGAUGGACAUAAGCAUAUUGAAGCUAUAAUGAAACAAGGGGAUGGUUAAUAUAUAGUUCAGUAUAGUAGUGGCUAACUGGGUGUGAUGAUGGACAUAAGCAUACUGAAGCUAUAAUGAAACAAGGGGAUGGUUAAUAUAUAGUUCAGUAUAGUAGUGGCUAACUGGGUGUGAUGAUGGACAUAAGCAUAUUGAAGCUAUAAUGAAACAAGGGAUGGUUAAUAUAUAGUUCAGUUAGUAGUGGCUAACUGGGUGUGAUGAUGGACAUAAGCAUACUGAAGCU
rnacentral:lncRNA from 1 species